CAACCUUGUCAUUUGAAAUCAGGUGCUAUUGCUAAAUUUAUCUCUAACAGAUCAGACUUUUAGAAUUUUAAAAUUUGUUCCAAUCUCUCUCUGCCUGCUCAAAAUGAACUAAUUAUACUUCAUGACGCGCCUCAUAAGUUUCAGCUCAACAAUGAAUCUAACCGCAUCCAAUGGGUGCUUUUUCCACUGCGUUCGCGGUAUCCAUUCAUCACCUCAAGAGGUGUUAAACGGGAACCGCCUUGCUCCUUUUGGAAACCUAGUGCUCCUUUUCUAGUAAUAAACUAAACACAAGGGA
rnacentral:lncRNA from 1 species